GCCGAAAUUCACGCCCUCCAGACCUUCCUAUCUAGGGUCAUGUCCUCGGUGAGCUGUAACUGUUCUAUGUCCCGCCUAAUCACCUCGCCCCAGUACUUCUUCGGCCUACCCCUACCCCGCCUAAAACCAUCCAACGCUAGCCUCUCACACUACGGACCGGAGCAUCCAUGCCCUUCCUCUUCACGUGUCCGAACCAUCUCAAUCGUGCUUCCCGCAUCUUGCACUCCACUGAAGUCACACCAACCUUCUCCUGGAUAGUCUCAUUCCGAACUCUAUCCCCUCUAGUCAGUCCAUACAUC
rnacentral:lncRNA from 1 species